UACAGAGGGUGCAAGCGUUGUUCGGAAUUAUUGGGCGUAAAGGGAGUGUAGGCUGCUUGUUAAGUCUUCUGUGAAAUCUACGGGCUCAGCCUGUAACGUGCAGAGGAAACUGGCGAGCUUGAGUGUCGGAGAGGAUAGGGGAAUACCCGGUGUAGAGGUGAAAUUCGUAGAGAUCGGGUGGAACACCAGUGGCGAAGGCGCCUAUCUGGCUGACAACUGACGCUGAGACUCGAAAGCAUGGGGAGCAAACAGG
rnacentral:rRNA from 1 species